rnacentral:rRNA from 1 species
UACGUAGGUGGCAAGCGUUGUCCGGAUUUACUGGGUGUAAAGGGCGUGUAGGCGGGUUUUUAAGUCAGAUGUGAAAUACCGGGGCUCAACUCCGGGGCUGCAUCUGAAACUGGAGAUCUUGAGUACUGGAGGGGAAAGUGGAAUUCCUAGUGUAGCGGUGAAAUGCGUAGAGAUUAGGAGGAACACCAGUGGCGAAGGCGGCUUUCUGGACAGUAACUGACGCUGAGGCGCGAAAGCGUGGGGAGCAAAC